UUCAGGCUACUAAGGGCUAUUGGUGGAUGCCUUGGCGCUGGAAGCCGAUGAAGGACGUGGAAGACUGCGAAAAGCUACGGGAAGUUGUCAAACAAGCUUUGAUCCGUAGAUGUCCGAAUGGGGAAACCCAAUUUAUUUUAAUAAAUUACUCCUAUCUGAAUAUAUAGGAUAGGUAGAGGGAACUAGGGGAAGUGAAACAUCUCAGUACCUAGAGGAAAGGAAAGCAAAAGCGACUCCCUGAGUAGUGGCGAGCGAAACGGGAAGAGCCUAAACCAAAUUAAUGUUAAAGACUGAUGUCGUUGUUUUUUUGGUGUUGUGGGGUCCUUUGGAAAGAGCAUCAGAUCUUUCAAUAAGUUACAAAUAAACAAGUUAGGAAAAUUAUCUGGAAAGUUAAACCAUAGAGUGUAAUAGUCACGUAUCUGAAAACUUAUUUACUUAUUAAGGCCACCCCGAGUAGCAAGGAGGAUAUUCCUUGUGAAUCUGCGAGGACCACCUCGUAAGGCUAAGUACAACCAGCGACCGAUAGUGAACAAGUACCGUGAGGGAAAGGUGAAAAGUACCCCGGCGAGGGGAGUGAAAUAGUACCUGAAACCAAUAGCUUACAAGCAGUAGGAGGGAUAUUUAUAUCCUGACUGCCUGCCUUUUGAAGAAUGAGCCUACGAGUUAUCUGUAUGUGGCAAGGUUAAGGAGUAAAUCCGUAGCCGCAGCGAAAGCGAGUUUUAAUAGAGCGUCUAGUCGCAUGCAAUAGACCCGAAGCCAAGUGAUCUAUCCAUGGGCAGGGUGAAGCGGAAGUAAGAUUUCGUGAAGGCCCGAACCCACUGAUGUUGCAAAAUCAGGGGAUGACCUGUGGAUAGGGGUGAAAGGCCA
rnacentral:rRNA from 1 species